AUUACAUUCACAAACAUUAUGUUUUGGUACAAAAUAUUGUCAUAUAGUAUGCAUUGUGUGUGUGUGUGCGUGUGUGUGUGUGUGUAUACUAUGCUAGAAGUAACCAUAAUAUAGGAUGAGUGGCUGUACUGAUACUAGAAAAUAAUUUAAGACAAAACUUGAGACUAGAAAGAAUGGACAUUCUAUAAAGGGAUCAAUCAAUCCAGAAGACAUAACAAUUACAGGUAUAUAUGCACAUACCAAUGAAACUCCAAAUUACCUGAAGCACAAACAGAUCCAUAUCCUUUAUUAGUAAAGAUUCAAAAAUCCUAAAAAUUAUACUAGCAAACUAAAUCCAGAAACAUACAGAAAGGAUGAACAAGCAGGAUUUAUUUCAGGAAUGCAAUUUGACAUGUAAAUAUAAGAAAAUAUAAUGUAGAAUAUUAAUUUAGUAAGGGGAAAAACAACCAUCUCAAUAGAUGUAGGAAAAAAACAUUUGACAGCAUUCAACACACUUUCAUUAUAAAAAAAACACUGAAAAUACGAAGCUUAAAAGGGACAUUUCUUUGAUAAAGAAUAUCAUGAGAAUCUUAUAACUCCGACUGUGGUUGUUGGGGAAAGAUGGAAAACUAUCUCUAGCAUCAGGAACAAGACAUCUGCUACCUCCAUUUAAAAAAAAAAAUUACUGUAGUUUCUAGCCAGUGCAAUUAGGCAAGAAAAAAAAUGAAAGGAAUUCAGAUUGAAAGAGAAGUAAAACUAUCUUUAUUGUCAGAAGGCAUGAACUUGUAUAGAGAAAAGGCAUUUACCAAAAACUAUUGAUUUAAUAAAUGGAUUCAACAUUGUUACGUUACAAAAUUAAUAUACAAAAAUCUAUUGUAUUUCUAUACCAUAUCAAUAUAUAAUCUAAAAUGAAACUACAAAAACAGUUCCAUUUACAAUAGCAUCAAGAAGAAUAAAAUACUCAGAAACAAAAAAAGUGCAACUAUUGUACAGUGGAAAUUAUAAAUCACUGCUGAAUGAAAAGGUAUAAUAAAUAAAAAGACAGUAUAUGUUUCUGGGUUAGAAGACUUCAUAUUUUUAAGAUAGCUAUAUUCUUUGAUUUUUUUAUUUGUUUUUUAGAUAUACAUGACAGUAGAGUAUAUUUUGACAUAUUAAACAUACAGUCUUUGUAUCAGUCAGGAUUCUCCAGGGAAAAAGAAUCAAUAGGGAGAGCAGUCAUAAAGGGAGGAGAGAGAAAAAAAAUAUUUAUAAAGACAUUUAUUUGUUUCAAGGAGUUAACUUGCAUAAUUAUGGGGGGGGGCUGUUAUACAACAUCUUCAGGGCAGACAAGCUGGAAAGUCAAGCAGGAAUUGAUGUUGAAGCUUGAGAGAAUUUUUUUCUUUCCAAGAAACCUAUUUAUACUCUUUAGGCCUAGCAAACUUGUUGCUUAAAGCCCUCCAUCCACAUUGUAAAAGAUCUCCUUAAAGUGCACUAAAGGUUUUUUAACCAUAUCUACAAAACACCUGUAUAGAUACACUGACAUUGUUACUUGAUUAAACAACAGCAUUAACCAAGCUGCCUCAUAAAACUUAACAACAUUCCCCCAAAUUAUCCACAGACUCAAUGCUUACUAUUAUUAUCCAUAUUUAACAUUUAAAGGAACUUAGGAAUACGGAAUUGUACAUCAACCUUUUUGUACUAAAAUUCAAGAGCUUAUACUGAAACUUAUAGGGAAAUGCAAGAGACUAAAUGGCCAAAAUAAGAACAAAAAUUAACAAAGCUGCAGUAAUCAAGACAGUGUGAUAAUGCCAUAAGGAUAUAGAUCAAUGUCAGACAAUUGCGAGUAUAAAACUAAGCCCUUUGGUUUAAUGUCAGUUGAGUUUCAUCAACAGUGCCAAGACAAUUCAAUGAAUAAAUAUGAGUUUUUCAAUAAAAGAUUCUGGGACAACUGGAUAUCUAUACACAAAAGAAUAAAGUUGGAUAACUAGCUCACAAAAUUCAUAAAAAUUAACUCCAAAUGUAUAUAUGAGCCCAUUUACAUUUACACUUAAAUAUGAAAAAUUAAAACCUUAAAACUUUUAGAAGAAACCAUAGGUAUUAAUCUUUGUAACUCUAGAUGAGUCAAAGUCUUAUUAAAUAGGACACCAGGAGCACAAGAGACAAAAACAGGAAUAAAUUGGCCACAUCAAAGUGCUUAUAAAAAAACUUGUGCUUCCAAAUUUUUAUAAAGAAAGUGAAAAGGAAGCCUAUAGAAUUGGAGGAAAUAUUUGCAAAUCAUAUAUAUGGUAAGAGACUUGGAUCCAGAAUAUAUAAAUAACCAUUACAACUCAACAACAAAAAGACCCACUUAAAUGUAGUGAAAUGAUUUGAAUAGUCAUUCCUUCCAAGACUGCAGAAAAAUAGCUAAUAAGUACAUGAAAAAUGCUCAACUUUGUAGUCAUUUGGGUAAUGCAAGUCACAAUCACAAUGAGAUUGCAAUAAAGGCAUUCACUAAAAUGGUUAGGAAAAAAUAAUAAACACAUUGGUGAGGAUGUGAAGAAUAUGGAACCUUCAUACACUGAUAGUUGGAAUGUAAAAUGUGAUAGCCACUUUGAAACACAGUCUGGUAAUUCUUCAAAAAGUUAAUUGUGAAGUUAUCACACGACAUAGCAAUUCCACUACUAGGUAUAUGCUUAGUAGAAAUGAAACAUAUUAAAAUCUGUACAUGAAUGUUCAUAGCAGCAUCAUUCACAAUAACUAAAAAGGGCAAAUGACACCAACUGACUGAUAAUAAUAUGUUGCAUAUUCAUACAAUAAAGGGAACAAAAAACUCACACAUUGACAACAUGAAAGAGCCUUGAAAACAUGAUGCUAAGUAAAAGAAGGUGGACAUGAAAGGCCACAUAUUGUAUAAUUCCAUCUAUAUGAAAUAUCCAGAAGAGGCAAAUCCGUAAGACAGGAAAUAGAUUAAUAGUUGCUAGGCACCAGAGUAAGGAAAGUUUAGGGAAGUAACUGCUGAUAGGUAUAGAGUUUCCUCUUGGGGAACUGAAAUAUUCUGAAAUUGGAUAGUGGUGUUGGUUGUACAACUUUGUGAGUUUACUAAAACUACUUGAUUGUUUUAGAGAUCUUUGGUUUUCUGUGGUUCUCCUCUGUUUCAUGUGAUGGUGGGUCAUUCUGAUGAUGUAGAUCUCCAUAUUCCUAAGUUUCUUUAAAUAUUAAUUAUGGAUAAUAAUAGUAAUGUUCUUAUAGGUUUCUUAUAAAAAUUGAAUUAAAUAAAAUUGAAUUGAAGAUGUUAGAACAGGUCUUGGCACGUGGUAAAUGAGAAAUAUUAACUAUCUUAUAUAACAAAAUAAAAGUCUAAAACACAAAAUAGGGCUUGAAUAAGAGCUUAAUGUUUAUUAUCACUGUUUUUGUUAUUGCUGCUGCUUCUAUUAUUGUAUUAUACCUUUUGGAAACUGACACCAGCAUAUUAACUAUCCCAGUGUCUUUGUUGGACAACCCCUACCUAAAUGAGCAUGUCAUUAUAGGAAAAGAAAGGAUGAUUUUCCUUUUGCAUGUAUUGUUAGACAUAUAAUAUGUGACUCUGUAGAAAAUAUAUGAAAUUCAGAAAGGCUCAAACAUAGAAAUAUAAAAAUUGCCAAAUUAAAAUAGCCACCAUAUAUAAUAUACAUUGUAAAUCUAUCUUUAUCUAUAUCUAUGUAUCAUCUACCUAUCUAUAUUUAAUUCAUGAAAAUGAGGCAUCUCAUUUUUUGAGCGUGGUAUUUCUAAGAAAUGUCACACACUGAAAGAAAUCAUGUACUAGAAUAUUGGAGCUCAAAGAAAUCUUAGGAUAUUGUCUGCUAUUUUGUGCCUUGAAAACAUGCCCUCUUCUUUCCCCUGUGCUCUAUUCAUUAUUCCUGAGGUUCACACUGCAGACAUCAGACAAUUUACUGUUCUACAAUGUAAUUUUGGAUGAAAACUGAAACCAAAUAUUUGCUUGCAGAUGAGGAAAUGGAGAAAUUGAAAUCUCUUGCCCCUAGUAUACACCUAGUAAGCAAGCCUUUAGCUUCCAGACCAGGGCACUUCAAACUGUUCCACACUGACUGGAUUGACAUGCAUUAGUGUCAUUGUCAAGUGUUAUGAAGCAGAUCAUUUGUAUUUGAAACUGAGAUAUUUAAUUUUAUUUCUUAAUGUUUACAUACUUUCAUAAGUUUAAAGCCAACUUCAGGAACCCUGUAUAAGAAAGGGGCUUGAACAAAAGUGUCUUCCUAAAUAGGCACCAAUUGAACAACUAAAGAAAUUUAAAAAGAUGGCAGGGGACUUGUUUUGUUUCUGGAAACCAGGUAAGGGUGCUAGUCACAUAGUAAAAUUUCAAAGAAUUCUUUCUAAAUGUUAGGAAUAUAUCAGCAUAUUGAAGAGGGGAAUAUUGUACUGUGAAAUGUCUUCUGAAAAGGCACUGUGCAUUCAGGACCAUAGAAAGAGGUGAUCCUAGCAAUGGUCAAUUUUCAUCACCUCAUUUGGAAGGGCAAGGGCUGCAGGCAAGAAUGGACCUUAGAACAAAUGUGAAACAAACCUCCUUGAGUCCCCUUUGACAAUGAAGAGCCAUAGUAUCAACAAACAACUACCCUGGAAGGUUGCAGGAUGUACAUUGCUACCAAGAGCAGAUAGCCAGCUGUACAGAUGGCUGCAUUUCUGAUAACAGCUCUAGGAAGAAGGCCAGGAAGAGCCAUCAAAUGGAGGGUAACAAAAAAGGCACAUGAACACAGAAAGCUGUCACACAUCUCAGUGGCUUUACUAAACAGAGGGAAGACAUCACACAAAAAAAAUUCUUUAUGUAGCUUCUCAAAACACCAACACUUUCUCUAUUCUUUGCUCUACCUUCUUCACUAGUUGUUAUUUUUAAUAGUUUUCAGUCCACUCUCCAUUGUAAUAUGUGAUAGAAAAAUGUCAAUAGCCAUCUGGUAGAUAUUGAAUCUAUACAAGGAAAAUCCACUUACGUUUGUUCUGUGUAUAUGAGAAAACCUGACUAACAAUGACUAAAAGUAUGAAAGGCCUUAUAUUUCAGAGAUUAACUGACCACAGGUAGACAAUCCGGGGCUUAUGCAGCACUCAAGGACAACAACAGAGAUUCAAGAUUUUUCUAUCUUCUUGCUCUACUAGCCUUAGUGCAUGGAUUUUCCCUUCAUAACUGUAUCCCUAAGCUUCACAUCUGAAUUUUAGGCAGAAAUACAUAAUUUACUUCAAGAACAUGCUAAUUUAGUGUACACCCAUGCCUAAAUACUUAAUAUUUCACAUAAAAAGUUUCUAGUAAGUCUUACUCAGAAACAUUUGCUUGUGUUUUAUUGGCUAGAGACUGUGUCACAUAGCCACACUCAGC
rnacentral:lncRNA from 1 species